UCAAACUCCUGGGCUCAAGUGAUUUUCCUGCCUCAGCCUCCCAAGUAGCUGGGACUACAGAAUCCUGCUUCUCUCUGAAAUGCAGUUAACACAUCAGCUGGACCUAUUUCCUGAAGGCAGGAUGACCCUCCUGUUAUUUAAAGAUGUAAAAAAUGCAGGAGACUUGAGGAAAAAGGCCAUGGAAGGCACCAUUGAUUGUUCGUUGAUAAAUCCAGUAGUGAUUGUUGAUCCGUUUCAGAUACUUGUGGCAGCAAACAAAGCAGUUGACCUCUACAAACCAGGAAAAAUGAAGACUCUAUCUACUGAAAUUAUUUUCAACCUUUCCCCAAAUAACAAUAUUUCUGAGGCUUUGAAAAAAAUUGGUAUCUCAGCCAAUGACACCUCAGUUCUAAUUGUUUACAUUGAAGAGGGAGAAAAACGAAUAAAUCAAGAAUCUCUGAUAUCUCAAGUGGAAGGUCCUCAGGUUUCUCUGAGAAAUCUUCCUGAAAUAACAAAUAUUACAGAAGUCAAAAAGAUAUAUAAACUCUCUUCACAAGAAGAAUGUAUUGGGACUUUAUUGAAUGGUAACAUUUGUAGGAUGUCAACAAAAGAUGUUUUGUGAUAUGUUGGAAAUAGUAACAGAAAUUUCAGCAUUGAAGAAGCCAUUGCUUUU